ACUUCUUGACAGUUCAACACCAUUAAGUCAUUCCCCACUUCCAUCUUCCUUCUAAACCACCUUUUUAAUGAGAAACUGAUUCCAAUAUACAUAAUACCCUCUCUGUAUAGAGAUCAAAAGCACAAACACAAUUGCUUUCUCACUCCAUUUUUUCCCACAAAAUUCUUCCCCUAACUCUUUGUUAGCAAACAACACAAAGGGCAUUCUUGUUUGUACAAAGGAAAGAAAAGAUCAUGUCUGCUACUGUUAGUAGUGGGGUUCUGUUCCUCCUUAUGUUCCUUAUGUUAGUUACAAGUUAUGGAGCCUCAAAUUCCCAUGUAAAUGGGGCAGAGCCAGAGAUGGUACCAGUAAUUGAGGAGAAGAUGAUGGUGAUGUUAAAUGAGACAAGAAGAAAGCUUGGGAGCUUCAAGAUUUGUGCAAUCUGCACUUGUUGUGGUGGGGCAAAAGGCUAUUGUGUGCCUUCUCCUUGUUGCUAUGCUAUCAACUGCAAUAUACCACAUAGGCCUUUUGGUUUCUGUUCUUUCACUCCCAGAACUUGUAAUUGCUUUGGAUGUCAUCUCUAAAUCCAGCUUCAAAUAUUAUAAAGAAAAUAUUAUAUUUUUGGCAUUUAUUCUGUUUAAUUUGAUUGGCUAAAAGAAGAGGUUAUGUGUAGGUUUAUUUUUUGGAUUAUAAUUUAAGGGAGAGCUACUUCCAGGUAAGUUUUUUUCUACUUGGUGGAAUUUGUCCCUUAUAAUUAGUGUUAAAACUAUAAUUACUUUUUGUUAUCACUUGUGAAGUAGAAACAUAUUAUAUUAUAUAUAGUUGUGUGUGAGAGUUUUAUUGA